GCACUGCUGAGGAGUCCCAACAUAGAACGAAAUGGCCGUCUAGUGC
rfam:Schistosoma rodhaini strain Burundi genome assembly, scaffold: SROB_scaffold0000195